GGGAUUGUGGCUCAGUGACAGAGCGCUUGCCUUGCACGUAUGAUGUACUGGGUUCGAUCCUCAACACCUCA
rnacentral:tRNA from 1 species